rnacentral:rRNA from 1 species
UUGACCUCGGAUCAGGUAGGAAUACCCGCUGAACUUAAGCAUAUCAAUAAGCGGAGGAAAAGAAACCAACAGGGAUUGCCCUAGUAACGGCGAGUGAAGCGGCAACAGCUCAAAUUUGAAAUCUGGCUUCGGCCCGAGUUGUAAUUUGUAGAGGAUGCUUCUGGCGCGGUGCCUUCUGAGUUCCCUGGAACGGGACGCCAUAGAGGGUGAGAGCCCCGUACGGUUGGACACCAAGCCUGUGUGAAGCUCCUUCGACGAGUCGAGUAGUUUGGGAAUGCUGCUCAAAAUGGGAGGUAUAUCUCUUCUAAAGCUAAAUACCGGCCAGAGACCGAUAGCGCACAAGUAGAGUGAUCGAAAGAUGAAAAGCACCUUGAAAAGGGGGUUAAACAGCACGUGAAAUUGUUGAAAGGGAAGCGCCUAUGACCAGACUUGUGUCCGGCGGAUCACCCAGCGUUCUCGCUGGGGCACUCCGCCGGGUCCAGGCCAGCAUCGGUUUCCGCCGGGGGAUAAAGGCUUGGGGAACGUAGCUCCUCCGGGAGUGUUAUAGCCCCCUUGUGUAAUAUCCUGGCGGGGACCGAGGUACC